GGAGUUUGGGCCGUGUCUCAGUCCCAAUGUGGCCGUCCGCCCUCUCAGGCCGGCUACAGAUCGUCGCUUUGGUAGGCCGUUACCCUGCCAACUGGCUAAUCUGACGCGGGCCCAUCUCAUACCACCGGAGUUUUUUCACACUGAGUCAUGCGACUCUGUGCGCUUAUGCGGUAUUAACAGUCGUUUCCAGCUGUUAUCCCCCAGUAUGAGGCAGGUUGCCCACGCGUUACUCACCCUUUCGCCGGUCGCCGUCAGAGUAUUGCUACUCCACGCUGCCCCUCGACUUGCAUGUGUUAAGCCUGCCGCUAGCGUUCAUC
rnacentral:rRNA from 1 species